AACGAACGCUGGCGGCAUGCCUAACACAUGCAAGUCGAACGAGACCUUCGGGUCUAGUGGCGCACGGGUGCGUAACGCGUGGGAACCUGCCUUUAGGUUCGGAAUAACUCAGAGAAAUUUGAGCUAAUACCGGAUAAAUGUCUUCGGACCAAAGAUUUAUCGCCUUUAGAUGGGCCCGCGUUGGAUUAGCUAGUUGGUGGGGUAAAGGCCUACCAAGGCGACGAUCCAUAGCUGGUCUGAGAGGAUGAUCAGCCACACUGGGACUGAGACACGGCCCAGACUCCUACGGGAGGCAGCAGUGGGGAAUAUUGGACAAUGGGCGAAAGCCUGAUCCAGCCAUGCCGCGUGUGUGAAGAAGUNUUCGGAUUG
rnacentral:rRNA from 1 species